UACGAAGGGGCUGAGCGUUGCUCGGAAUUACUGGGCGUAAAGGGGAGCGUAGGCGGAUAGUUUAGUCAGAAGGUCGAAAGCCCAGGCUCGAACCUUGGAAUUGCCUUUGAUACUGGCUAUCUUGAGUAUGGAAGAGGUAUGUGGAACUCCGAGUGUAGAGGUGAAAUUCGUAGAUAUUCGGAAGAACACCAGUGGCGAAGGCGACAUACUGGUCCAUUACUGACGCUGAGGCUCGAAAGCGUGGGGAGCAACAGGG
rnacentral:rRNA from 1 species